GCAAUUGCAGAUUCUCCAAGGCAGGAGCGGCCUAUGCCCGAGGGCUUCUCUGCCCCCCACCCCGCGCGCCCCAUUCCUUUUCCACACCAAGGAAUCACCCAUCCCAUCCCCCCCCCCCCCGUUUUAAAACCUGUGAUCCACUGGUAGCCAGAGGCUGCUGUGGUGUCUUCAGCUAUGGAUUCUGCCUGUGAGUCCCGGGGAGAAAAGUGCUGGCACCUCCGGAGCCGCUAGGCGACUCGAAGCUACCAGAAAGAGCUGCUUCACCCAGCUACUUACCCACAGCUGUCUGCCUUGAAGUGGGAGCUGUCAGCCAACUGGGCCCUUUGACAACUGCCAGACUACACUCAAGGCAGACAAUCUACUUUGAACAGCUGUGUCCCUCUAAGGAAACCCCCUGCAGCUGCAAGAGACCCUGCAACCACAGAGUCUCACACAGGACUCCAUGCUGAUCCACCAUGCAGCCAUGCCUGGCCUCAAAACUUAUGCCAAUUUUCUUGGCUCAAUCUCUUUUCAUAGAUCCUCGUGGGCUCUGAAGGUGUCUGAUAUGGGGGAAAACAUCCCUAAAACUCACUGAGCUGCUAGGCUGGAGCUCUUCAGGUCAGGUCCCUUCCAAAGCAAACUAUCCUGCUGGGACAAGUUGCAGCUCCUCGGUUUGCAAACAACAAUUUUGAAUUCAAAAUAAAGAAAUAAAUAAAUAAACAAACAACAGCUCCCUAUUUUAUGGCUGGGGAUUAGGGGAGACAGUUUGGCAUUUUGUACAACAUAAUGUGCACACUGGUACCUAAGCCAUCCUUGGUGUCUGCUAGCCAAUACCACAUCUGGGGUUCUGAUUGGAAAAUGGAGAAGGAAGAAUGAGCUGGAUGCCCAUUCCAUGUGGUGGAAAAAGAGAGCAGCACUGGAUACUGACAUUCCCUGCAUGGGAAUACAAAUAACUAACAAACACCAGUAUCUACAGAUGUCACGAACUGCCAUACUGACCAGGAGUCACCGUUCCAAACACUUCAUAUAACAGCCCUCAUCAAUCUUCAAAGGUAAGUAUCAUCACUAUCCCUAUUUUACAGAUGAUAAAUCCAGGGCUUAGAGAUAAUUAAGGCUUAUUUCUAGUACGGAUUU